AUGGAGGGGCAUCACCUAUUCCGCGAGACCGCGACCAGGCACCGGGGGAGGCCGCCCCUACUCGCCCCUCCGCCUCGCAGGCGAUGGGGGAGGAGGCCGCUGCUAAAGUUGGUGACUGGUUGGGAGGUGAAAAAUGAGGGUGACAUUCUGAAGUUGCACAGGGCAUGGAAGGGGGUUUAA
rnacentral:rRNA from 1 species